AAGGAGGCGUUUUUCUCAACAACAGUUCCAACAACAAUGUCAAACAAACCCUAAGUGUUCAUCAUAAAAGUACUGCUCUCACAGAGCCACCUUAAAAUUUUGCCAUGCAUCUAUCAACAGGCAUAUAGUGAAGCAGAAUAUCCAAAAGUGCAAAUUUGUGCAAAUAUGUGUGUUUGCACACUUGAAACAAUUAUAAGAAAUAAUCAUGAAGAUGUUACAACCAUUAUUUAUCAAUUUAGUCCGAUGUAUCAGUAUUACAUGCAUUCAAAAGGCAUCUGAGUGCAUCCAGAGGCAUGUGAGUACCAAACUAAUUCAGCAUAAUGAUAAUCAUGAUGAAAAUUCUUCUAAUGAGAGUGGUCCAAGCUAAAUACCCAUUUAAUUUAUUCAAAGAUAUGAGUUACUUCAAAUCACCAAUUAAGGCUAGAUGAUGUGAGAAAAUCUUGACAGGCAUUAGUCAAAUUUUCAGACAAGGAAAACACCACAUAUUACUGACACUAGCAAGCACAUGGGAUAUGCAAUCUCAAACCCAGAAGAAUGUUGUAAGAAUUAGCAUCAUAAUGGACACUCAAUAAACUAAUGAAGCCUAAUGUCGAGUUAAGAAAGAUUUGUAUCUUAUAUCAAGCAAUUAAUGAAGGCAGCAGUUAUUAAAAAAUUCAUAGAAAACCUGCCAAGUGCAAUAAAUAUUUGUUUCUGAUUUGUUGAUAUAAAAUUGAGGGUAUAGGCGAGAAAAAGAAAGGAGAAAACAAGGGGCCAACUUUCUUCCUCAUGUUUGGCAGUAUAAAUGUCAAAUUGACAAGGCACCAACUACCACUACAGUACUACCAAAGUAAUAUAAAGACUUGGGUAUAAAUAAAUUGCCUAUUUACGCUGAAAUUGAAGAUUUGGAUAUUAAUAAGCGCGAGAGGGAGGGGAAGAGAUUGCUAAAUUAUCUUGCUGAAACAAUUUUGAAUUCAAUACUCACCUCCCAAACAAACACGAUUUUAAAUA
rnacentral:misc_RNA from 1 species